rnacentral:rRNA from 1 species
ACUCCUACGGGAGGCAGCAGUGGGGAAUUUUGGACAAUGGGCGAAAGCCUGAUCCAGCAAUGCCGCGUGUGUGAAGAAGGCCUCGGUUGUAAAGCACUUUGUCCGGAAAGAAAUACCUUGGCUCUAAUACAGCCGGGGGAGUGACGGUACCGGAAGAAUAAGCACCGGCUAACUACGUGCCAGCAGCCGCGGUAAUACGUAGGGGUGCAAGCGUUAAUCGGAAUUACUGGGGCGUAAGCGUGCGCAGGCGGUUUGCUAAGACCGAUGUGAAAUCCCCGGGGCUCAACCUGGGAACUGCAUUGGUGACUGGCAGGCUAGAGUAUGGCAGAGGGGGGUAGAAUUCCACGUGUAGCAGUGAAAUGCGUAGAGAUGUGGAGGAAUACCGAUGGCGAAGGCAGCCCCCUGGGCCAAUACUGACGCUCAUGCACGAAAGCGUGGGGAGCAAACAGGAUUAGAUACCCUGGUAGCGACUGA